GGGCAUAUAGCUCAGCUGGUUAGAGCGCCACAUUGACAUUGUGGAGGUCCUCCGUUCGAUCCGGAGUAUGCCCACCA
rnacentral:tRNA from 1 species